UUACAGGCUUAACACAUGCAAGUCGAGGGGCAUCAGGAAGAAAGCUUGCUUUCUUUGCUGGCGACCGGCGCACGGGUGAGUAACACGUAUCCAACCUGCCCUUUACUCGGGGAUAGCCUUUCGAAAGAAAGAUUAAUACCCGAUGGCAUAAUGAUUCCGCAUGGUUUCAUUAUUAAAGGAUUCCGGUAAAGGAUGGGGAUGCGUUCCAUUAGGUUGUUGGUGAGGUAACGGCUCACCAAGCCUUCGAUGGAUAGGGGUUCUGAGAGGAAGGUCCCCCACAUUGGAACUGAGACACGGUCCAAACUCCUACGGGAGGCAGCAGUGAGGAAUAUUGGUCAAUGGGCGCUAGCCUGAACCAGCCAAGUAGCGUGAAGGAUGAAGGCUCUAUGGGUCGUAAACUUCUUUUAUAUAAGAAUAAAGUGCAGUAUGUAUACUGUUUUGUAUGUAUUAUAUGAAUAAGGAUCGGCUAACUCCGUGCCAGCAGCCGCGGUAAUACGGAGGAUCCGAGCGUUAUCCGGAUUUAUUGGGUUUAAAGGGAGCGUAGGUGGACUGGUAAGUCAGUUGUGAAAGUUUGCGGCUCAACCGUAAAAUUGCAGUUGAUACUGUCAGUCUUGAGUACAGUAGAGGUGGGCGGAAUUCGUGGUGUAGCGGUGAAAUGCUUAGAUAUCACGAAGAACUCCGAUUGCGAAGGCAGCUCACUGGACUGCAACUGACACUGAUGCUCGAAAGUGUGGGUAUCAAACAGGAUUAGAUACCCUGGUAGUCCACACAGUAAACGAUGAAUACUCGCUGUUUGCGAUAUACAGUAAGCGGCCAAGCGAAAGCAUUAAGUAUUCCACCUGGGGAGUACGCCGGCAACGGUGAAACUCAAAGGAAUUGACGGGGGCCCGCACAAGCGGAGGAACAUGUGGUUUAAUUCGAUGAUACGCGAGGAACCUUACCCGGGCUUAAAUUGCAGUGGAAUGAUGUGGAAACAUGUCAGUGAGCAAUCACCGCUGUGAAGGUGCUGCAUGGUUGUCGUCAGCUCGUGCCGUGAGGUGUCGGCUUAAGUGCCAUAACGAGCGCAACCCUUAUCUUUAGUUACUAACAGGUUAUGCUGAGGACUCUAGAGAGACUGCCGUCGUAAGAUGUGAGGAAGGUGGGGAUGACGUCAAAUCAGCACGGCCCUUACGUCCGGGGCUACACACGUGUUACAAUGGGGGGUACAGAAGGCAGCUAGCGGGUGACCGUAUGCUAAUCCCAAAAGCCUCUCUCAGUUCGGAUCGAAGUCUGCAACCCGACUUCGUGAAGCUGGAUUCGCUAGUAAUCGCGCAUCAGCCACGGCGCGGUGAAUACGUUCCCGGGCCUUGUACACACCGCCCGUCAAGCCAUGGGAGCCGGGGGUACCUGAAGUACGUAACCGCAAGGAUCGUCCUAGGGUAAAACUGGUGACUGGGG
rnacentral:rRNA from 1 species